AUAUUUGCUAAAGAUUCAUCGCUGAUAGAUAGGCAUGCGUUCCAUUAGGCAGUUGGCGGGGUAACGGCCCACCAAACCGACGAUGGAUAGGGGUUCUGAGAGGAAGGUCCCCCACAUUGGUACUGAGACACGGACCAAACUCCUACGGGAGGCAGCAGUGAGGAAUAUUGGUCAAUGGCCGAGAGGCUGAACCAGCCAAGUCGCGUGAGGGAUGAAGGUUCUAUGGAUCGUAAACCUCUUUUAUAAGGGAAUAAAGUGCGGGACGUGUCCCGUUUUGUAUGUACCUUAUGAAUAAGGAUCGGCUAACUCCGUGCCAGCAGCCGCGGUAAUACGGAGGAUCCGAGCGUUAUCCGGAUUUAUUGGGUUUAAAGGGUGCGUAGGCGGCCUUUUAAGUCAGCGGUGAAAGUCUGUGGCUCAACCAUAGAAUUGCCGUUGAAACUGGGGGGCUUGAGUAUGUUUGAGGCAGGCGGAAUGCGUGGUGUAGCGGUGAAAUGCAUAGAUAUCACGCAGAACCCCGAUUGCGAAGGCAGCCUGCCAAGCCAUGACUGACGCUGAUGCACGAAAGCGUGGGGAUCAAACAGGAUUAGAUACCCUGGUAGUCCACGCAGUAAACGAUGAUCACUAGCUGUUUGCGAUACACUGUAAGCGGCACAGCGAAAGCGUUAAGUGAUCCACCUGGGGAGUACGCCGGCAACGGUGAAACUCAAAGGAAUUGACGGGGGCCCGCACAAGCGGAGGAACAUGUGGUUUAAUUCGAUGAUACGCGAGGAACCUUACCCGGGUUUGAACGCAUUCGGACCGAGGUGGAAACACCUUUUCUAGCAAUAGCCGUUUGCGAGGUGCUGCAUGGUUGUCGUCAGCUCGUGCCGUGAGGUGUCGGCUUAAGUGCCAUAACGAGCGCAACCCUUGCCACUAGUUACUAACAGGUAAAGCUGAGGACUCUGGUGGGACUGCCAGCGUAAGCUGCGAGGAAGGCGGGGAUGACGUCAAAUCAGCACGGCCCUUACAUCCGGGGCGACACACGUGUUACAAUGGCGUGGACAAAGGG
rnacentral:rRNA from 1 species